AAGGUAUAUGAAAUAAAUGCUCACAAUAAAUUGUAGAACCACCUUAAACAUAUAAAUAGCACCAUAAUCUAUACAACACUAAAUUUAAGAGAUCAAAUCAUCACUACAAAGGGGGCAGAGUCGGUAAAAUUGAUCAAGCAAAUUGGUGGCACCCACGCUUCCACAGCCUAAACUCUCCAAUCAAUCAAUUUAACUUUACUUCCUCCAUUGAAACUAGUCAUACUCGAACAUAAUAAUAUGAAGACAUGUAAGAUGGCCACUAGAGAAGUCGAGACAUUCAUCUGGUCUGCACUAUAUAUCUUUAACCUCUUAAUUGCGUUAAUGCUGAGACCCUUAUUGAGUUGACUUAGAUAGAAAGCUCCAUGUUCACUUAUUCCCCUCUUGCAGCCUUCCUUUAUUUCAUUGUUGAAAUUGAA
rnacentral:lncRNA from 1 species